GCGACUUUGGUGGAGUUUUAUGAGGAGACUCACUGGUCGAAGAAGAACAAUAAAUUUUUCACCUCAGCCACUGAAGACACCUAUGUGAGUACGAUCUUUAUGUUAGGCUAUUUGCUGCACAAAUAGAAGGUUCAAUUACUUUAUAUUUGAAAGCGAUAAAUUCAUGAGGCAUUACAGGACUUAACAAUAACAAAAGGAAAUUUUGCUCGUGCAGAAAAAGAUGGUUGGCAAACUGGAUGAUCUAGAGCCUGAACAAUGCACCAGUCAGGCAACAACGAGUGUGUUUAGGGAGGUACUUGGGCAUAGACCAGGAUAUGCCCGGGGGCUAGGGGAGAUGGUCAUCUCGGAGUCGACAAGAUAAUGGGACCGUGAAUGAGAAAAAGAGUACCUUGCCUUGAUUGAACAACACAAGAAAGACGCUGACAACUACAAGAAAGAUGCCUUGAACUACAAGACGCAGCUUGAUGAAAUGAGGGAUGAAAUGCGCGCACUUCGUGAGAGGCAAAAUGAAACUGAUAACAUGUUGAGGGAAUUCUUCCAAAAUUUCCCGUCUUACAUUGAGUCUCUCCAGUCACGUGGAGAGACUCAGUGAGCUACCAUUAACACGCAUGGGAAGAGCUUUUUUGUGUAUUUUGGGCACUUUUUGGUGGUGGGAGAUGGUGGGUGGCCAAUAUAUAUAUAUAAACAUAUUUAUAUUUU